rnacentral:tRNA from 2 species
GCCCGGGUGGCGGAAUUGGUAGACGCGCCGUCUUGAGGGGGCGGUGCCCGUUAAGGGCGUGCUGGUUCGAGUCCAGUCCCGGGCACCU